rnacentral:rRNA from 1 species
CUGGCGGCGUGCCUAAUACAUGCAAGUCGAGCGAGCUUGCCUAGAUGAUUUUAGUGCUUGCACUAAAUGAAACUAGAUACAAGCGAGCGGCGGACGGGUGAGUAACACGUGGGUAACCUGCCCAAGAGACUGGGAUAACACCUGGAAACAGAUGCUAAUACCGGAUAACAACACUAGACGCAUGUCUAGAGUUUGAAAGAUGGUUCUGCUAUCACUCUUGGAUGGACCUGCGGUGCAUUAGCUAGUUGGUAAGGUAACGGCUUACCAAGGCAAUGAUGCAUAGCCGAGUUGAGAGACUGAUCGGCCACAUUGGGACUGAGACACGGCCCAAACUCCUACGGGAGGCAGCAGUAGGGAAUCUUCCACAAUGGACGAAAGUCUGAUGGGGCAACGCCGCGUGAGUGAAGAAGGGUUUCGGCUCGUAAAGCUCUGUUGGUAGUGAAGAAAGAUAGAGGUAGUAACUGGCCUUUAUUUGACGGUAAUUACUUAGAAAGUCACGGCUAACUACGUGCCAGCAGCCGCGGUAAUACGUAGGUGGCAAGCGUUGUCCGGAUUUAUUGGGCGUAAAGCGAGUGCAGGCGGUUCAAUAAGUCUGAUGUGAAAGCCUUCGGCUCAACCGGAGAAUUGCAUCAGAAACUGUUGAACUUGAGUGCAGAAGAGGAGAGUGGAACUCCAUGUGUAGCGGUGGAAUGCGUAGAUAUAUGGAAGAACACCAGUGGCGAAGGCGGCUCUCUGGUCUGCAACUGACGCUGAGGCUCGAAAGCAUGGGUAGCGAACAGGAUUAGAUACCCUGGUAGUCCAUGCCGUAAACGAUGAGUGCUAAGUGUUGGGAGGUUUCCGCCUCUCAGUGCUGCAGCUAACGCAUUAAGCACUCCGCCUGGGGAGUACGACCGCAAGGUUGCAACUCAAAGGAAUUGACGGA